GGUGUGUACUUGUGAAAGCCAAAGAGCACAUGAUGCAUUCUGACAGCUGUGCAUAGAGAGAGAUAGAGAGAGAGCAAGACAAUCCGUAUAAAAGGGCGGAGCUCCAGAGAAAACUUCCUCUUCAAGCUGCUUCUUCAUUUGCUGGCCACUCAUGCUGUUCACAGUCUGGCUGGCAGUCAGUCCUCUGCAUUUAAAGACCAACUUUGGCUGCUAGAAAUGCUGUAUUUUCUCCAUGAUCUUUGAAGGUCCCGCUGGUUUUUCCAUUCCAGCUGUUUUUGGACUUUGCCCUUGAGCAACUUUAACGGAGUCACUUUUCCUUUUCCUGAACAAGCGUGCAAUUUCAGCAAGGUUCACUCUUUGGCGUUACACAACCUUCAGGAUUAAUUUUAAGCUGUGUUGUGCACAAAUACCGCAGCGAUGAUCAUCAGACUCGGCAGACUGACACCUGGAUACUUCCGUCUACUGCAGAGGCAGGUAGCAGGUGAGGUUCAGGCCCCAACUCACGACCGCUUGGUCAACCAGAUCGCCAUGAUGCUGGCCAUCAUGGGCCUCAGCCUGUCCUACUACAGUGCCAAACAGAUGAUGGAGAAGGUUCACCACGAACCCGCCCCGUGAAGAUGUGCAAAUGUGCUCUGGAUUGACAUCAUCUGGAGGAGACGAAUCCAAACUGAAGAUGUUCAGACUCUGUCACAAUACCUUUCUAUAACCUCCAGGGAUCACACACCGCAGGACAUCUGCUUAGGGGUUGCUUUAGUUUAGCUCUCAAUGGGAUCUGGAAGGGUUGACUUGAUGCAUGCAUCAGAGAGUCAGUCAAUAGGUUGCUUUAGGCAGAAAACUCAAGCUCCACCAAUGCAUGAGCAAACCAGGAGCUCAUCUCUGAGCCAUAAUGUCUUUUAAGAGGAAGGACCUCUGUAUUUGACAUGUACCAAGCAACUAUUGAAAGCAGGUCCAAUGCACAAUGGUGAAAUGCUCCGAUUUUUCCCAAAAAAGAUGCUGUUAAAGAACAUUCAAAGCCUUGGGGGGACUUCUAGUGAAGGUGCUGCUAUACAAUACCACACUUGGUGUCAGACACUUUAGGAAAUUUACUACACAAACAAAACUUGAUAUUUUGAUUACAACUUAAGUGAAUAUCUUCUCGUUUGUCCUGAUGAAUUUCUCAACUCUUUUAUAUGUUAAUGCCGACUUUGUGUGCAAUUGGAUGAGUUUGAAGCAGUUUGUUUUAGUGCAACCAAUCCAUAAUGUUGUUUCUAAAGCUUUUUUAUAAUAAUGUGAUUUAUAUGCUGAUGCUGUAUGUGUACUGUAUGUUAUAUUUUUAAGACCCCACGAUCAAAUAAAGCUGUGAAUAUUUUGAACACGA